rnacentral:rRNA from 1 species
GACGAACGCUGGCGGCGUGCUUAACACAUGCAAGUCGAACGGAAAGGCCCUGCUUUUGUGGGGUGCUCGUGUGGCGAACGGGUGUGUAACACGUGAGUAACCUGCCCUUUACUUUGGGAUAACUUCAGGAAACUGGGGCUCAUACCGGAUAUGAGCUCCUGCUGCAUGGUGGGGGUUGGAAAGUUUCGGCGGUUGGGGAUGGACUCGCGGCUUAUCAGCUUGUUGGUGGGGUAGUGGCUUACCAAGGCUUUGACGGGUAGCCGGCCUGCGAGGGUGACCGGCCACAUUGGGACGGAGGAGCGGCCCAGACUGCAACGGGAGGCAGCAGUGGGGAAUAGUGCACAAUGGGCGGAAGGAUGAUGCAGCAACGCCGCGUGCGGGAUGACGGCCUUCGGGUUGGAAACCGCUUUCGCCUGUGACGAAGCGUGAGUGACGGUAAUGGGUAAAGAAGCACCGGCUAACUACGUG